rnacentral:rRNA from 1 species
CGGACGGGUGAGUAAUGUCUGGGAAACUGCCCGAUGGAGGGGGGUAACUACUGGAAACGGUAGCUAAUACCGCAUAAUGUCGCAAGACCAAAGAGGGGGACCUUCGGGCCUCUUGCCAUCGGAUGUGCCCAGAUGGGAUUAGCUAGUAGGUGGGGUAACGGCUCACCUAGGCGACGAUCCCUAGCUGGUCUGAGAGGAUGACCAGCCACACUGGAACUGAGACACGGUCCAG